CACGUAGUUAGCCGGAGCUUAUUCAUCAGGUACCGUCACAUCCUUCGUCCCUGAUAAAAGAAGUUUAACAACCCGAGGGCCUUCUUCCUUCACGCGGCAUUGCUGGGGUCAGGCUUGCGCCCAUUGCCCAAUAUUCCCCACUGCUGCCUCCCGUAGGAGUCUGGGCCGUAUCUCAGUCCCAAUGUGGCCGUUCAUCCUCUCAGACCGGCUACUGAUCGGCAGCCUUGGUGGGCCGUUACCCCGCCAACUAGCUAAUCAGACAUGAGUCCCAUCCUUCAGCGAUAAAUCUUUGAUUUUAGGAAGAUGCCUUCCCAAAAUGUUAUGCGGUAUUAGCAGUCGUUUCCAAACUGUUGUCCCCCUCUGAAGGGCAGGUUGCUCAUGCAUUACUCACCCGUUCGCCACUGUCCUCUAUUCAAUUGGACGAAUCCUCUAUCCAUAGAUUCUCGUUCGACUUGCAUGUGUUAGGCAUGCCGCCAGCGUUCAGU
rnacentral:rRNA from 1 species